UACAGAGGAGCCAAGCGUUGUCCGGAUUGACUGGGCGUAAAGCGCACGCAGGCGGAUGCGCGCGUGGGGUGUGAAAUCUGGCCGCUUAACGGCCAGGCGCCAUCCCAUACGGCGCGUCUGGAGUGAUGCAGAGGUCGGUGGAAUUGCCGGUGUAGUGGUGAAAUGCGUAGAGAUCGGCAGGAACACCCAGGGGGAAACCAGCCGACUGGGCAUCUACUGACGCUGAGGUGCGAGAGCGUGGGAGCGA
rnacentral:rRNA from 1 species